rnacentral:tRNA from 1 species
GACUGCGUGGCGCAGUGGAAGCGCGUUGUGCUCACAUUAUGAGAGCCACAAAGGCCCGUGGAUCGAAACCGCGCGUGGUCA